rnacentral:rRNA from 1 species
UACGGAGGGUGCGAGCGUUGUCCGGAAUCACUGGGCGUAAAGGGCGCGUAGGCGGCGCGGGGAGUCAACGGUGAAAGCUCGGCGCUCAACGCCGAGUCGGCCGUCGAUACUCCCGUGCUCGAGCACUGUAGAGGCAGGUGGAAUUCCGGGUGUAGCGGUGGAAUGCGUAGAGAUCCGGAAGAACACCGGGGGCGAAGGCGGCCUGCUGGGCAGUAGCUGACGCUGAGGCGCGACAGCGUGGGGAGCAAACAGG